GGCUGGGUAGCUCAGGUGGUAGAGCGGCGCGUAUUCCAUAUCUUCAGGCGCAGGUCGCGUGUUCGACUCAUGCCCCAGUCG